UAGAUAAAUAAAUAAACAUUUAUUAAAAAAGUCCAUUGAAAGUCCAGGCCUACUGUUGCUACCCAAAGCCCAAAUACAAAAACCCAUAUCCGGGUAUAACCCAAUAGCCGGAACAAUACCUAAUACCCUUAAGCUAAACCCAAACCCAAAUAAGGCCCGUUACACCCAGCAGUCCGUCAGACUCAUUAUCCCUGCUAGCCUAAGUCAGACCUAACCCAUUACAUUACAGACCUUGACCCAAAACAAAACAGCCCAAAAGGCCCAAUAGACUUAAGAGAAACAGGGAAACCCUAGGGUUUCCGAAUACUGUGGCGCCGCAAACAUUUCUGGAAGCUUCGGGGAGUGUCUGGCAACCCCCAAAUCGAGGCCACCGUUUAAUGAGUUGUCCCAAGGGGCUUCAAUGCUCAUCAACGCCCCGAUCCUCGGUCGUCCCUUGGUCUGGCCCCAAAUUACGUUAUGAAUGUCAUGACCAUCACCAAGGCUCCAUCAGCGCCGUGAUCAGUGCACGCGUCUACACCAGCAUGGUCACUGCCAGAUCCCUCGCUCGAUUGCCUGCAAGAAAAGGAAACAAACAGCAGAUACGCGAAAAAGCAGAGUAGAAAAUGGCAAGGAAAUCACAGCACAUCAGUCAAAGAUACAAGAAAUCAGAGAUUUCUUUCCUUAUGUAACAAAUCAGUAGGCUAUAAAAAAAGCCUUUGUAACCCUUGUAACGAUUACACAGAUACAGAAAUAAAGAAACGAAUACAAAUAGUUUCAAAGGUGAUAACUGAGUGACUUGUUCUCUAUUUUUUUUAGCCCAUAUAUAUGAACUGUUUAGCAAAAUACUAAGGGUAUUUGAAAAGAAGAAGAACUACCUGUUUUGGAUCUAAAGGAAUGAGGAUUUUUAAACCCUCCGAUCUUCGUAUACAGUGGCCCUUAGGGCGGCGCGUGGGCGCGUGGACCGGCACGUGGCGUACGAAGGCCAGAACCGGAGCUCCCUUCCUCUCUCUCUUUCAGAGAGAAUUUUUUAGUUUUUUUUUUAAAAAAUCGGGGUUCAAAUGAAUCUUAAGCUGAGAAGGUAGCUUAUAUAGCUUGAACGAAACGGCGUCGUUUUGCGACCCCCAGGAUCCGCGUGUUGACCCGAUUACCUGGGGAGGAUCCGCGCAUUUUUUAAAAUUGGGUUAAUUUCCCAAUCGGUCCUUCUACCCCUUUUGUGUUUACAAUUAAACUAUUUUAUUUAUGAUUUGGCCCUAUUAUUUUAUUUUAGUUUUAAUUUGACCCUGACAGUUGUUAAAUUAUAUUCUGAGAAACGUGGCCGUUUUAAGAAUAGGGCAUUUUGCCCAGUGAGUCCCUCUAAUUUUACGCGCGUUUUAAAUAGGGCCUCAAUUCAGUUUUGUUUCUUUGAAAUUCGCCCUGUAAUUUUGCUGAAUUUUAAAUUUAGUCCUAUAUUUAUUCUAUAUAUAUAUCUAUUUUAUAUAUUGAUAUUUAUUUUUAUCCUUAUUAUUUAUAUUAUAUACUAUAAGAUUAUUUUAUUAUACAUAUAUUAUUAUUCUUCAUAUUACCUAUUAUUUUUCAAAUUAUUUUACAUCAUUAUUUUUUAUAUUAUUAUAUUUUUACUUGUAUUAUAUGUUAAUUAUUUAUACAUAUAAACUUUCAUUAUUUUAUAUUAUAUCUAUUAUAUAUCUUAUUUCCUAUAUAUUUAAAUUAUAUUUUAUAACAUUUAUUUUAUUUUAUUUUUAUUCUAUAUUUUUUAUAUAUAUGUUAUGUGUAUCAUAUAUUAUCUAUUAUAUUAUUCAUUAAGAUUUGUAAAUUAAAUUACAUUUUAAACUCAUAUUAUAUAUAUUAAAUUAUUAAUUAUGUAUUAUUUUAUUUUAAAAUGAUGUUUUGUGAUAUGUAUUAUUUUAUAAAUCCUUUUACCUACUUUUAUUUUAUAUAUAUUUUUAUAUAAUUAUUAUUCUCUUAUAAAUAUUUUGUUAUUAUAUUUUAUAUAUUAUGUAGCAAAUACUAUUUUAAAAUUAUUAUUAAAAUUUAGGUCUUUAUUUGUGUUAUGUGUAUACUUUGUUGACAAUAAUUUAUUCCAUUGUUUUUAUAUUGCAUAUAUCAUGCGUUAUUUUAUAUUUAUUAUUUGAUAUUACAUUUCAUGAGCAUAUACAAUGAUAUUAUAUUACUCUUUUGUAUGCCAUACAUUAUUUAAUUAUUGCUUUCUUAUAUAUAACGUGCAUUAUUUAAUUAUCACUUUGUAUGUUUGUAUAUCUUGUUUAUUCAUUCUCAAUACAUGCUAUAUAUAUAUCUAUGUAUGCAUAUUGUUACUAUUUGCUUUAUAUGUAUUAUUUUAUAUGUAUAUAUCUAAUGCACGAUCUUUAUAUCAUAGUAUUCAUUUUUAAAUGCACGUAUUAUUUACCUACUACAAUAAUAUGUUACUAUGUAUGAUUUAUAAUGCAAUAUAAUUCCUCACACAUCACCAUUUUUUUAAAAAAAGAGCUCCAAGGUUUUCAAAAAAAUAUAAAGGCAAUGCUUGAUGUUUGGAAAUUUCGGGAAAGUAGUGCCCUAACUUAUCGGUUUGCGACUCUUCUCGUUGAGUUCGAAUAAUCAAAUACCCUUUUAAGUUUUUAAAGGUUUUCAAAAUGUAAGUGACUGUCUUGGAAUUUCAAAGAAAUAUGACCAAACUUACUGGAUGUGGCGUUUUGUUGUUUCAAGAUAGGGAUUUUCGAAAGGCUAACUCAAUGUCAAUAUUUUACGAGUGAGUUCCAAUUUUCAAAAUCCAAAAUAUUUCAAAGAGGAUUGCGUCUUAAAAUUUCUAAUUUCCGACCUUAAAGACAUUUGAUAAUCAAUUUGGUACCAAUUUUUGGGCGUUACGAGGGUGCUAACCCUUCCUCGUACGUAACCGACUCCCGAACUCGUUCUUUUGAUUUCGUAGACCAAAACCGAUGAUUUUAAAAUAAAAUUGAUCUAAAGGUGAUCCAAUCACACCUAAAAAGCUUGGUGGCGACUCCCGUUUUCAUUUUUUUAAAGUCGAUUCCCAUUUUCUAAAACUCGAUUUGAAAAUGAUUUCGACAGCUUGGCGACUCCACUGCGGACUAAUAAGAGAGUCAAGCCGUGUAAUUGAUUAUCUCUUGUCUUAAUGUCGGAAAUUAAAAAUUUUAAAAUUUAAUUUUCUUUGCAUUACAUGUGUUUGUGUUAUUGCAUGUGUUGCUAUAUUCUAAUACGCAUUGCAUUUGCAUGACCGUUGUGGUCACACCCUUAAGUGGGAGUGAGAAGCUACGCCUUCGUGAGGUUUUCGCCUCCGUGCAGGAUAGUGGAUCACUUUUGGGAUACAUCCGUACCUAUGGUUUCGUGAGAUUUUCAUCUCCGUGUAGCCAUAGGGAAAUGUGUCCCCCUGAACUGAACUCGAUUCAAAUGAGCCUAUAAUGGGUGAGGAUCGAGGAAUCUGCUGGUUCAGGUACCUCAACUUUAGAACUAAACCACAUAUAGAAGGACCGUAAGAGCUCAACCUAGAUAGAAUUAUACCGUAAUUAUUACCCUUACAGGUUAUCUUUGAGUUUAUUGUUAUCAUGUGAUACUAACUAUCUCUUUUCUUUUGUUGCAUAUCAUUUCGCAUUUAAAAGGUAUCAAUUCGCGGUCAGUGUCUAAAUUAGAGAGUUUUAUUAUAGAGAACGGACUUCUUGAUAGAGUGGAGAGCAAUGCCAACGUCCAUAGAUGGUCUGAGCAAACUCAGUUAGAAAAGGGAGAUAGUAUAGCUGUGGGAUAUAUGUCGGAGCUGUCAGGAUAUACUCGCAUCAGUGUCACGCAGGAUAAUCUCCAAGAACUUAAGGAGAUUUGGGAUCAAUGGGGCAACGAGACUAAACAGUUAUUCUAUGGUAAUUACGUAGAUUUACCUUACUUGCUCGAUGUUCAAAUAGAUGAGCACUUGUUCCGAGCCCUCGCUCAGUUUUGGAAUCCAGCGUAUAGUUGCUUUACUUUUGGGGAGGUAGACUUGGUGCCUACCGUAGAGGAGUACACUGCCUUGUUACGUUGUCCCAGGUUCCAGGUUGAUAGAAUCUAUUCUCGAGCUGCUAAUGUCCCUACCUUUUGGAAGAAAUUGAUGACUAUUACAGGGAUGAGUGAGCAGUGGAUUACGACCAGAAUUAAAGAGAACGGUGAGUGCAAGUGCAUUUCAUGGGACGCUUUGAAGGGUCUGAUUUUGAUGCAUCCCGAUGAAACAAAGAGGGUAGAUGUUUUUGCCUUAAGUUUGUAUGGAUUGAUGGUGUUCCCUAGGGCUUUGGGAUAUGUGGAUGAGGCAACCACGGAUCUUUUCCAUAGACUCAGUAAGAGGGUCACUUCAGUCCCUGCAAUUUUGGCAGAGACAUUCAGGUCCUUAGGCACAUGUAGAAAAGCUGGUGCAGGCAGGUUUGUUGGUUGUGUACAAUUGCUUCUAGUUUGGUUCUAUAGUCAUUUUCAAUUGGUAGAUAAGGUCGUUUGUCGGGUUUUCUUCGAGGAUUACUCACCGCUGAAGGGCAUAGUCGCUUCAACUAGGAGAGUUGAUGUUCCAGAGGAGAAUUGGAUAGCACUACUUCAAAAUCUUCAGUCGAAAGAUGUUGAGUGGAGAGCUCCAUGGAUGAUUCCUGGUGAGAUUCUUUACCGUUGCGGCAGUUUCGAUUGGGUCCCUUUAUUGGGAAUUUGGGGUGCCAUUGGUUAUGCCCCCUUGCUCGUGUUAAGGCAAUUCGAUUUGAGGCAGUUCGUGCCAGCAACUCAUGGGCUAACUCAAAGUGAGUUCGCAUAUAGAGGAGCUGAUUACAAGAAAAGGGUCGGUGAGAUCUCUAGCGCUUGGAACAAGGCGUGCCGAUUGAAAGGAGUAGCUAUUGGCCCUGCUACGACUCCAGAAUAUGUUGAAUGGAGAGGUAGAAGGAUCAAUGAUAACAUUCCUGAGCCAAAUAUGGAAAGAGCUCGACCGAUGGAGGAAUAUCUGCAAGUGAUGCCCUCGGAGUUAGAAAUUAUGAAGCAAGAAUUUGAGAGGAAAAAUCUGGAGCUCGAGAAAAGGAUAGCAAAGCUUGAAGAAGAAAAAAUGUACUUGAGUUUAGAUAUUGAUGUCCAGAAGAUGGAGGUCGAAAAAAAAAGAAAGGAAGGAAAAGAGGAAGAUUGAAGAGGAUAGAGAUGACUUGAAGGAAUACUACAAAAAGGCACAGGUAUCCUUGAGAAGAGCGAAAAUAGGAGGGUCUUCAGAUCAAUUGCAGAAAGAGGUCCAAGAAGGAAAGGCAAGAGCUGAGUACUGGGAGAAGAAGUUUCAAGAGAUGCAAUCGCGAAAUUUGGCAUUAGAAGAAGAGAAUAAAGGGUUGAAGUCUAAAGUAACUGAGCUUGGAAGAUCCCUUCGAUGGCAUCGCAACCAUGAUUCUACGGUCGAGUUAAAAGAGCUAAAGAGUAAAGUUGAAGAUUUGGAAGCAGCAUUGCAGGAAAGUAAACUUCAGAUCGAGCAACUCGAGACACAAGGAGAUUAUCUAAAGGGAGAGCUUCAUCAGUCUAGAGGGCAGAUUAGAGAAAUGGAUCAUGUCAUGGAAGAAGCCAUAGCUCAGAUUCGAGAGGUUGCUGAAUAUGUGCGAGACUUGGUUGUACGAGCCGAGGUAUUGAGUAUGAUGUGUGGGUCGUCGUCAGACAUCGGAAAAGAGUUAGCCCUUUUAUUAGAUAAAGUUAAAACUUUGGGCAUUAGGGCGAAAGCAUACUUGUAAUCCAUUUAUAUGUAAAGAUAUUCUUUUUCUAAAUGAAGUUUUCUAAAUGAGAUUGAAUCGAGAUUGAUGCCUUUGUUGCAUUCAUACAUUUGCAUUACAUCAUAUCAUAUGCAUUCAAGGUUAUAGAAAGACCCUAAUUAGUUAAAGUUUCUUUAUAAAGGUAGAAAAGAAAAACUGGAAAUUACGCAUUCUUACGGCACUCGCACUAAAACUAAGAACAUGGAUCAAAGGUUUGAGCAGUUGCAAAAGGAUAUGCAAGACCAGUUGCAAGAGCAGUUGGCUAAAAUGCAGAAUGAGAUGAGGGAGCAAAUGAUGGAAGCUCAGAGGAAUAUAAUGGCCGAAAUGGCUCAGUUACUGAGGGCCACUGAUAAAGGAAAGGCUCCUAUGGCCAUCAUUGAAGAGGAAAAUGAGGGUCCUCUUCUAGGUUUUACACCGCCGCAUGUAUCAUUGCAAACCGAGGCACCUCCUAGAAGGCCAUCUACUACUGUGAGGCCUCAGCAUGGGCUAAUCGAUGCUGGUAUCCAUGUGAAUUUUUCGGUUGGUUCAGGGCUUAAUAUGGGUGACAAUCUUACUAAUCCUCUUGUUCCUGAUCUAGAUAUGGUGAAAAAGGAAUAUUUGAAGGCCGAAGCUGCAAGGUAAUUAGAUGAACGCUGUAGAUGGUUAGAAGAAAAGUUCAAGGCUUUGGAAGGCACUGGCAAUAAUCAUGGGGAUGAUGCCAAGGACUUAAGUCUAGUCCCAAACCUAGUGUUACCUCACAAAUUCAAAAUGCCAGAAUUUGAAAAAUACAAUGGUACUACUUGCCCAGAGGCCCACAUCACAAUGUUUUGUAGAAGGAUGACGGGGUAUGUAAACAAUGAUCAGCUGUUGAUCCAUUGUUUUCAAGAUAGUUUGAUAGGUGCGGCAGCCAGAUGGUACAAUCAGUUGACCGGGCUAGAAUAAGUUCAUGGAGGGAUCUUGCAUAAGCCUUCAUGCAACAGUAGAAUCAUGUAACAGACAUGACCCCUGACAGGAUUACCCUGUAAAACAUGGAGAAGAAGCCUAAUGAGAAUUUUAGGCAAUAUGCACAGAGGUGGAGAGAGGUAGCGAUAGAGGUUCAACCACCACUGUUGGAGAAGGAGACCACUAUGUUAUUCAUUAAUAUUUUGAAAGCCCUAUUUAUUACUCAUAUGAUUGGAAGCACUACUAAAAGUUUUGCGGACAUAGUUAUGGCAGGAGAGAUGAUAGAGAAUGCCAUAAGAGGGGGAAGAAUUGAAGGAGAGGGAGUCAAAAGAUCAGCCCUAAGAAGAAAAGACAAUGAGGUAAACAAUACAAGUGGUUUUAAUUCAAAAGCAGUCACAGUUAGCCAGCCCAAAGUAGCCACAGUUGGGCAACAAGUCUCUUAAAAGCAGGAAUCCAACACUAGGUAUGAGAGGAUGCAAUUUACACCUAUACCUGUGACGUAUAGGGAACUCUAUCAAAAUCUAUAUGAUGCGCAUGCUAUAGCCCCUUUCCAUUUAAAACCAUUACAGCCUCUGUAUCCUAAAUGGUAUGAUGCAAAUGCCAGAUGUGAGUAUCAUGCUGGAAUAUCGGGGCACUUAAUCGAGAAUUGUACUGGAUUCAAGAAAGCCGUAGAGAGGUUGAUCAAGAAUGGGGUUUUAAAAUUUGAGAGUACCUCAAAUACUGAGAAUCCUUUGCCAAACCAUGACAAUCAGGGAGUAAAUGCCAUUGGUGAAGCCGGUGAAAAAAGGGAAAAGGAAAAUGUUGAUGAGAUAAGGAUGCCUAUGAGGGUAAUCUGGAAGGAGAUGAUGAAGAAAGGUAUGUUGACCUUUAAAAAUACGAAAGAAAUAAUGUGGGAUUACGGUGAGUUUCGUGAAGAUUGCGAGGAAUUCAAGGCCUUGGUGCAAGGCUUCAUAGACAACAAAGAGCUACAGGUUUAUGAAGGUAGCUCUAGUGAAAAGCAAGUAUGUGUGUUGGAAAAUGAACAGCAAAGAACCAACAGACCAAGGAUCAUUAUCUCCUUGCCAGGGAAUAAUGAAAUAAGGACACCAUCAGCGCCCAAGGUUAUUAUCCAUACACCUACUCCUUUCCCUUACAAGGAUAGCAAGAAAGUACCAUGGAGUUAUGACUGUAGCGUGACGGUGCCGGGAGAAGGAAACAUAGCCAGCGCAUCUAAAGAUGUACAAGAGGAAGGUUCCCAUACGUGAAGUGGGAAGCGUUAUGAUAUGGGGGACGUCAGGGUGGAGCCCACAAAAUCUAAGAAUGCUGAAAUUGAGAAAAAGAGUGAAGUACCUGUUAACGAGCCGGUGAGAGAGGAGGAAGCUAAGGAAUUUCUAAAGUUUCUUAAGCAUAGUGAGUACAGUAUGGUCGAGUAGUUGCGUAAGCAACCAGCGCGUAUAUCGAUUUUAGCCUUACUGCUAAGCUCUGAAGUGCAUCGAGAAGCGUUGUUGAAGGUACUCAACGAGACAUAUGUCACUCAUGAUAUAUCUGUCAAUAAGUUGGACCGGUUGAUAAAUAACAUCAAUGCUGAUAAUUUCAUCUACUUCAAUGAUGAUCAAAUUCCACCUGGGGGCAUAGGGUUAACUAAGGCUUUGCACAUCACCACUCGUUGCAAAGGAUACACGUUUCCAAGUGUACUCGUUGAUAAUGGGUCCGCUUUGAACGUCCUUCCAUUAUCCACAUUCAACAGAUUACCUAUUGACAGUUCACACAUGAAGACAUGUCAUAAUGUGGUAAGAGCCUUUGACAGAACUGAAAGGAAAGUAAUGGGACGAAUUGAUAUCCCUCUGGAGAUUAGACCAAAUACGUAUGAAGUUGACUUCUUGGUAAUGGAUAUCAAGCCCUCCUAUAAUUGUUUGUUGGGGAGGCCAUGGAUACACUCGGCAGGAGCGGUGCCUUUUUUACUGCGCCAAAAAUUGAAGUUGGUGACAGAUGGACGCUUGAUAACCAUCAAUGCAGAGGAGGACAUCAUAGCAGUCGUCACUAGUAAACCUCCUUAUGUGGAGACAAAUGAGGAGGCUAUUGAGUGUUCUUUUCGUUCUUUAGAAAUUGUUAAUACUACCUUCAUUUCGGAGGGAAGCGAGGUGCUGGUUCCCAGGAUGUCUAGAGCAACAAGGAUGGCCCUACAAAUAAUGAUGGGGAAAGGAGCAUUGCCAGGAAAAGGACUAGGAAAAUAGUUGCAAUGAGGGAUUCAAGUCCCAAAAUUGAUGGAGAAGAAGGAUCGCUUUGGUUUGGGUUUUAAGCCAGACCAUAAACAAAAGAGACAAGAGAUGAAAAAGCGUCAAGUAAGAAGGAAGGCGCAUUUGAACGGAGGAGAAGUAGAGUGGGAACUGAUGACAUUCCCACCUAUAUCCAAAACCUUUAAGUCAGGAGGGUUGCUAGUAAAAGAGAGUCAUCAAAUCAAUAUUGUACAUAAUGAGUGGUUUGGACAGGAAAACCUUGAGGGUAUUCACCCUUACGAACCGGGGAGCUCUCUGAACAAUUGGACUGCGGAGGAUCUUCCUGUAGUCUUUAGAAAUUUUUCAGAGUAAUUCUCGAAACAUGUUUAUUACUCUAGGGCCUAGGAGUAGUAAGAUUACAUUUUGUGAAAAUAGGCCUAUGUUCAUAUAUUAUUAUUCAAAUAAAACAUAACUUUUACCAAUUUAAAAGAGUAUUGUCUCAUUUUUAUCAACCAAUAUUUCUUUAAAUUCUAACAAUUCUUAUUCUUUUAUUCAUAGCACAUAAACGAUCAUUCUCAAAUUCAUUCAUUCUUUAUAUAUUCUUUCAUACCCCUUACAGGUCUCUAGAUAUCAAUGAUAUGAGCGCUAAUACUGCCGUUCCUGAUUUCUCUUGUGAGCAAGACAUGUGUUUAGAGGAGCCUUAGGAUUUUGAAGAUGUUCAAGAUUGUGACGUAUCUCUCGAUCUAUUAAGAAUGGUAAAACAGGAGGAGAAACAAAUCAUGCCACAUGAAAAAGAGGCAAUAGAUAAUAUAGCCCUAGAGGAAGGGAAGGAGGUCAAAAUUGGAACACUGAUCGCUAAUGACACAAGGCGUAGCUUGAUUGAGUUGCUUCAGGAAUUCAAGGAUAUCUUUGCAUGGUCUUAUCAGGAUAUGCCCGGAUUGAGUACUGAUAUUGUAGUACAUCGUCUUCCGAUAAGACAAGAAUGUAGACCGGUCCAACAGAAGUUGCGAAGGAUGCGGCCAAACAUUGUCCUGAAAAUAAAAGAUGAGGUUAAGAAGCAGUUUGAUGCAGGAUUUCUGCAGGAAGUGAAGUACUCUGAAUGGGUAGCUAAUAUUGUACCUGUUCCUAAGAAAGACGGGAAGGUACGAAUGUGCGUUGAUUACAGAGAUCUAAACAAAGCAAGCCCAAAGGAUAAUUUUCCUCUACCACAUAUCGACACUUUAGUAGACAACACAGCGGGAUAUUCGUUGUUCUCCUUCAUGGACGGCUUCUCAGGAUACAAUCAGAUAAAGAUGCAUCCAGAUGAUAUGGAUAAAACUACUUUCAUAACAUUAUGGGGCACCUUUUGUUAUAAAGUAAUGCCGUUUGGGUUGAAGAACGCAGGGGCAACAUACCAACGAGCCAUGGUAAACUUGUUUCACGACAUGAUGCAUAAGGAUAUUGAGGUAUACGUUGAUGAUAUGAUCGCCAAGUCGCGAACAGAAAAAGAACACAUUGAGGUCUUGAGAGGAUUGUUCUUAAGAUUGAGAAAAUUUCAGUUGAAGCUCAAUCCAGCAAAGUGCACCUUUGAAGCCAGAUCGGGGAAGUUAUUAGGCUUCGUAGUCAGUAAAAAGGGAAUUGAAGUUGACUCAGACAAGGUCAGAGCCAUACGGGAGUUGCCUCCACCACGUACUCAAAAAGAAGUUCGAGGAUUCCUAGGAAGGUUGAAUUACAUUGCUCGGUUCAUUUUACAAUUGACCAAGAAAUGUGAUCCUAUCUUUCGUCUCCUCAGAAAGCACAAUCAAGGUGCUUGGGAUGAAGAAUGCCAGAAUGCUUUUGAGAAAAUCAAGCAGUAUUUGUUGAAUGCUCCAAUGUUAUCUCCGCCUAGUCUAGAUAAACCGUUAAUACUAUACUUGUCAGUGUUUAGCAAUUCUAUGGGAUGUGUGCUUGGUCAGCAUGACGAGUCAGGGAAAAAGGAAAAGGCAAUUUAUUAUCUCAGUAAGAAAUUUACUGAUUGUGAAAUGAGAUAUUCACUAAUCGAAAAGUUGUGCUGUGCGUUGAUUUGGACCACACGGAGAUUAAGACAAUACAUGCUAUACCAUACAACUUGGCUCAUCUCAAAAUUAGAUCCAUUAAAAUACAUGAUGGAAUCAACGGCUCUAAAUGGAAGAAUGGCGAGAUGGCAAAUUUUGCUUUCAGAGUUUGAUAUAGUUUAUGUAAGUCAGAAGGCUAUCAAAGGAAGUGCGGUGGCAGACUUCUUGGCCAGUAGAGCUUUAGAGGAUUACGAGCCAUUGAAUUUUGAUUUUCCAAAUGAGGAGCUAAUGUGUAUAGCAGCAACUGAAGAUUCUCCAUGGAAGCUAAAUUUUGAUGGGGCUUCUAAUGCAGUCAGAAAUGGAAUUGGGGCAGUCUUGGUAUCCCCGAAUGGCGACCAUUACCUGUUCAUGUGCAAGUUGGAUUUUGACUGUACAAAUAAUAUGGCUGAAUACGAAGCAUGCAUCAUGGGGCUCCAAGCGGCCAUAGAAAGAGGCAUAAAAACCCUAGAAGUAUAUGGAGAUUCUGCGUUAGUAAUCUAUCAGUUAAGAGGUGAAUGGGAGACAAGAGACCCUAAGUUGAUCAAUUAUCGAAUGGUAGUUUUAGGGUUACUAAGAGAGUUCGAUGACAUCACCUUCAACUAUCUCCCACGAGAUGAGAAUCAGAUGGCAGAUGCUUUAGCAACCUUGGCUUCACUGAUUAAGGCAAACAAAGAGGAAGAGAUGAGACCAAUUCAAAUGAGUGUCUAUGAAUUUUCAGCUAGCUGUUGUAACCUUGAAGAGGAAGAAAAGGAUGACAAUCCUUAGUAUCAGGAUAUAUUGCGAUAUGUAAGAGAUCGUAAAUAUCCAGCACAGGCAUCCGAAAAUGACAAACGAACCCUGAGAAGAUUAGCUUGUGACUAUGUUUUGGACGGGGAUGUUCUGUAUAAGAGAAGGAAAUACCAAGUACUUUUGAGAUGUGUCAAUGCUGUGGAAGCCAAGCUAAUUCUAGAAGAGGUCCAUGAAGGUGCAUGUGGUACGCAUGCAAAUGGGUUCACGAUGGCAAGACAAAUCAUGAGGUUUGGCUAUUACUGGGCCACUAUGGAAGGAGACUGUAUCAAUUAUGCCAAAAAAUGCCAUAAGUGUCAGAUUUAUGGGGACAAAAUUCAUGUACCACCCUCACCUUUACAUGUCAUGACGUCUCCAUGGCCAUUUUCCAUGUAGGGCAUGGAUAUCAUCAGACCAAUAUCGCCGAAAGCUUCGAAUGGACAUCGGUUUAUUUUCGUAGUUAUUGACUACUUUACAAAAUGGGUAGAGGUUGCUUCUUACGCAAAUGUUACUAAGUCAGCUAUAAGUCGAUUUUUGAAGAAGGAAAUCAUUUGUCGGUAUGGAGUGCCUGAGAGGAUCAUAUCCGACAAUGUAUUGAAUUUGAACAACAAAACGAUAGCAGAGGUUUCGACCAGUUCAAAAUCAAGCAUCACAACUCUUCACCCUAUCGUCCAAAGAUGAAUGGGGCAGUGGAGGCUGCCAAUAAAAACAUUAAGAAAAUAGUGGGAAAGAUGACUGAGACUUAUAGAGAUUGGCAUGAAAAGCUACCGUUUUCACUCUUGGCUUAUCGAACAUCUGUUAGAACUUCUACUGGGGCAACUCCGUUCUCGUUAGUUUACUGGAUGGAAGCAGUUUUACCUAUUGAAGUGGAAAUACCCUCUCUCCGAAUUUUAACAGAGAUAAGGUUAGAUGAAGCUGAAUGGGUUCAGUCUCGAUAUGACCAGCUAAACUUGAUUGAGGAAAAGAGGCUGAAGGCUAUCCAACAUAGUCAGAUGUACCAGAAGCGUAUGAUACGAGCUUAUGAUAAAAAAGUUCGUCCAAGGGAAUUCCAUGAGGGGGACCUUGUGCUAAAGAAAAUCAUUCCCAUUCAAAAGGACUUUAGAGGAAAGUGGAUGCCAAAUUGGGAGGGGCCAUACGUCGUGAAGAAGGCUUUUUCUGGUGGUGCAUUGAUUUUGACAGAAAUGGAUGGAAAAAGCCUACCCAAUCCGGUGAACUCAGACUCAGUUAAAAAUACUUUGUCUAAAAGCGAAAAGAAUCCAAGGUGAAAACCUGCAAAAGGGCGCCUUGAAUUUUGAAAAAAAAAUGGAUAGGCCAAUGUGAAAACCCACAAAGGGCACCUUGUGACUAAAGGGAUUUUGAGUUGAAAACCUGAAAGGGCAGCUCAAAUUUUGAAGGGCAUACAGCAAACUUGCUAUAUUUGACUUGACAGAGAGUGAGGCACAGUGUACAUUGGGGCAUCAACAAAGUACUUUGGAUCUUUUAAACACAUGUCGAACUCAAGAAAGGCUUCGGGGAACUAAUGUAUAGAUGCUCAAGCGGCGAUAUUUAUCCUGUUUGCUGUCUUUAGAUUCUAUUUCUUCUUAAAGAUAUGCUAUCAAACUUAUUUCCUUUGUACUGUUAACAAUUCGAAUCCAAUUAUUCUCAAAGAUUUACUCAUCUCCCGAUAUUUUUUAAGUAUGUUGCAUUGAAAUAAUGAUAGAUGAGCUAAAAUAUUUUCACAAAAGAAGUUUUACACAUCACUUUGGAAUUUCUAGAUAAUACAAGAAACUAAAACAGGACAAUUGUUCGAGAAAUUCACGUAAGUAAGGAAUGAAGGAACUCGAGAGAUUUCUUUCUUCCAGUUCAAAAAGAAAUGGAUGAUUCAAUUCUUACAGACAUCCUCAAUAGAUCAUAGCAUUGGAGGAAGGCCUACAAGCUGAGUAAGAAUAAAGUUUUGAGAAAGAGAAAUGAAGGAAUGAAUAAUGACACCUGAGAUAGGGGUUAUAUUCACAGCACUUUGCAUCAUAACAUGUUAAGGGCAUUUGACUCAUUUCAAUCAUAGCAUACUUAGGCAUAGGCACAUACUCAUCCUACAGGUCAUGAAGAUCAAAGAUUUCAACAUGGUAGCCUAUGCUUAUAGGAAAUAAAUUGAAGACAACAGAUCUAAACUUCAGACAUUUAUGUUGAAGCAGAUCCAAGAUGAUUUGGUAUUCUUGUGUUUACAAGAAACAAGUCGAGGACAUAGCAGAUUUGACUCUCAGACGUUCUCAAAGAUAGCAGAUCUAACCUUCAGAUGUUUAUACUGAAGCAGAUCCAAGAUGAUUUGGUAUUUUUGUGUUUACAAGAAACAAAUCGAGGACAUGGCAGAUUUGACUCUCAGAUGUUCUCAAAUAUAGCAGAUCUAACCUUCAGAUGUUUAUACUGAAGCAGAUCCAAGAUGAUUUGGUAUUCUUAUGUUUACAAGAAACAAAUCGAGGACAUAGCAGAUUUGACUCUCAGGCGUUCUCAAAUAUAGCAGAUCUAACUUUCAGAUGUUUAUACUGAAGCAGAUCCAAGAUGAUUUGGUAUUUUUGUGUUUACAAGAAACAAAUCGAGGACAUAGCAGAUUUGACUCUCAGACGUUCUCAAAUAUAGCAGAUCUAACCUUCAGAUGUUUAUACUGAAGCAGAUCCAAGAUGAUUUGGUAUUCUUGUGUUUACAAGGAACAAAUCGAGGACAUUGCAGAUAUGACUCUCAAAUGUUCUGAAACAGACUCAAGAUGAUUAGACAUCCUUGCAAAUUGAAGAAGUAGAAUCAGUGUCUCUAUGUUCGGCGGAAAGCAGAUUGAAGAUCAUAGAAUCGAUCAAAUUUGGGUCUUUCUAUGAAUCUUUGCUUGAUUCCUGUUACACAGCAAUAAACAAAGAGGGGCAGCUGUAAUAGCCCAAAUUUGACCGGGUUUAAAUAAAGAAAAAAUUAGAUAAAUAAAUAAACAUUUAUUAAAAAAGUCCAUUGAAAGUCCAGGCCUACUGUUGCUACCCAAAGCCCAAAUACAAAAACCCAUAUCCGGGUAUAACCCAAUAGCCAGAACAAUACCUAAUACCCCUAAGCUAAACCCAAACCCAAAUAAGACCCGUUACACCCAGCAGCCCGUCAGACUCAUUAUCCCUGCUAGCCUAAGUCAGACCUAACCCAUUACAUUAUAGACCUUGACCCAAAACAAAACAGCCCAAAAGGCCCAACAGACUUUAGAGAAACAGGGAAACCUUAGGGUUCUUGAAUACUGUGGUGCCGCAAACAUUUCUGGAAGCUUCGGGGAGUGUCUGGCAACCCCCAAAUUGAGGCCACCGUUUAAUGAGUUGUCCCAAGGGGCUUCAAUGCUCAUCAACGCCCCGAUCAUCGGUCGUCCCUUGGUCUGGCCCCA
rnacentral:lncRNA from 1 species